rfam:Dipodomys ordii contig_34892, whole genome shotgun sequence.
GGGAAGGUGGCUCAGUGGUAGAGUGCUUGCCUUGCAUGCAUGAGGCCCUGGGUUUGAUUCCUCAGCACCCCA